UACGUAGGGUGCAAGCGUUGUCCGGAAUUAUUGGGCGUAAAGAGCUCGUAGGCGGUUUGUCGCGUCUGCUGUGAAAACUCGGGGCUUAACUCCGGGCCUGCAGUGGGUACGGGCAGACUAGAGUGCGGUAGGGGAGACUGGAAUUCCUGGUGUAGCGGUGAAAUGCGCAGAUAUCAGGAGGAACACCGGUGGCGAAGGCGGGUCUCUGGGCCAUAACUGACGCUGAGAAGCGAAAGCAUGGGGAGCGAACAGG
rnacentral:rRNA from 1 species